rnacentral:rRNA from 1 species
UACGUAGGGUGCAAGCGUUAAUCGGAAUUACUGGGCGUAAAGCGUGCGCAGGCGGUUGUGUACGACAGAUGUGAAAUCCCCGGGCUCAACCUGGGAACUGCAUUUGUGACUGCACGGCUGGAGUGCGGCAGAGGGGGAUGGAAUUCCGUGUGUAGCAGUGAAAUGAGUAGAUAUGCGGAGGAACACCGAUGGCGAAGGCAAUCCCCUGGGCCUGCACUGACGCUCAUGCACGAAAGCGUGGGGAGCAAACAGG